AGCAGCCGCGGUAAUUCCAGCUCCAAUAGCGUAUAUUAAAGUUGUUGCAGUUAAAAAGCUCGUAGUUGAAUUUCGGGAUCAAUUCGUCGGUCGUGCUUUUUGGUACGUACUGGUGUUUAUUGGUUUCUCCCUUCUGACGAACCAUGAUGUCAUUAAUUUGGUGUUAUGGGGAGUUAGGACUGUUACUUUGAAAAAAUUAGAGUGUUUAAAGCAGGCAUUAGCUUGAAUACAUUAGCAUGGAAUAAUGAAAUAGGACGUUCGAUCCUAUUUUGUUGGUUUCUAGGAUCAACGUAAUGAUUAAUAGGGAUAGUUGGGGGCAUUAGUAUUCAAUUGUCAGAGGUGAAAUUCUUGGAUUUAUUGAAGACUAACUACUGCGAAAGCAUUUGCCAAGGAUGCUUUCAUUAAUCAAGAACGAAAGUUAGGGGAUCGAAGACGAUCAGAUACCGUCGUAGUCUUAACCAUAAACUAUGCCGACUAGGGAUCGGAUGAUGUUAAUUUUUUAAUGACUCAUUCGGCGCCU
rnacentral:rRNA from 1 species